GAUGCGGGGAAAGGGGGGCGUCGUCAUGGCAACAACGGGAGCCCCCCGGACCGGCCGCGCAGCCCCGGGCCGCGGGGCCAGGGUUAGACGGGACGGGAGAGCACGGAGCCACGGGAAAGUGGGAGUGGAAGGAACCAAGGCUGGAAGCACAAGGGCCAAAUGUACAAAAAGCUGCUGAGAAGAACCCUCGCUGUGAUUUGGAUGGGCUGGAGAGAGGUGACUGCUUGCUCACCCUGACAGCCAGCUCUGGCUGCUCCAAACCUGGGGCACAGAGUGUUCCUGCUCAUUUUGGAGACUGUAGGAACAACCUCACAGUUUUUGUGUAUCUGCAAGUUCCUUGAGUUGUAUACUCCAAAAUUUUUACCAUAUUAAAAAUAUUAAGUUAGACUCUGAUGAAGCAACAGAUCCUGCAAAUCAGGAGGGAAGUAACAAUAUAUUUCCUUUGCUGCUACUGCCUACUUCCCCAUUUUCAAAUCAAACUGCAGUGGCACAGUGUAGAAAAAGGUUUUCCCAUAUCAAUCCUUUUAUGCUGCGGAGGGAAGGUCAAACAGAUUUGAAUCAGGAGCAGAGUGAAACUCAGUCACUUGAAAAGCAACCCAUCAGUUCCCUGUUCCUGUCUGAGCUUGCUGUAAAAAAAAAAAAAAAAAAACAAUCAGGAAUUCAGAAUGAUGAAUUCCUAGGGAACAGCUACAUUAGGUAAAAAACAGGAAACAGACUUGGCUUCCCAGUGAGCCCUGCCACUGAUGUAACAUCAGACCAUCUCCCUCUCUGUGCCUUAACUUCCAUUUCUGUGACCUCUGUUGGAAGGGAUCUCAUACCUCGAGAUUGGGGGAGCUGUCCUAGGGAAGGGACUCGGGGGCUUUGGGCUGAGGGCAAGUGGAACAGGAGCCAGCAGUGUCCUGGCAGCCCCAAGGGCCAGCCCUGCCCCGGGGGACAUCAGGGGGGUGGGUGACUGUCCUGCUCUGCUCUGCUCUGCUCUGCUCUGGGGCAGCCUCACCUCCAGCCCUGGGAACAGUUUGGGCCUCUCAGCACACAAAGGACAGCUGAGGGCUGGAGUUGUGUCCAGAGGAGGGGACCAGGAUUGUGAAAGGUCCUGAGGGCAGGACUUGGGAGGAGCAGCUGAGGCCACCUGUGGGCCUCAGCUGGGAGGAGAGAAGCUGAGGGGUGAUCCCAUUGCUGUCUGCACCUUCCUCCCAGGGGUCAGGUGCUGAUCUCCCCCUUGUGGGACCAGCAAUGGACCUGAGGAGAUGGAAUGAAGCUGCCUCAGGGGAGGUUCUGGUGGGACAUUAGGAAAAGCUUCCUCACCCAGAGGCUGCUCAGUGCCUGGAAGAGGUUCCCCAGGGAAGCGGUCACAGCACCACGUUCAGGGAGUGUCUGGACAACACUUGUACUGUUGGUUUCAUUUUAGGUGGUCCUGGCAGGAUCAGGGUUUUGGACUCAAUGAUCCUUAUGGAUCCCCUCCAGCUUGAGCUAUUCUGGGAUUCUGUGAACUUUUGUUAACGUAAACCUAUCUCUUUGUAAUGCUUUUAUGACUUAAUUUAUUCUGACAUGGAUUUUUCAACCCUGCUGGUCCAUUAGUCCCACAAGACCCAAUCUGUGCAGGGCUGUUAUGCUCUGGGAGUUGUUUUGCUGCAAUUCAUCCCCACAACAUCCUGCUAUUCCCAGGAUGGCAGCAGCAUGCACACGUCACUCCUGUCCUCACCCACAGUUACGUCCCAAAGCCUGACACAGACGUCAUAAAACAUGAAGCCCCAGGAAGCUGCUGCCAUCCACAGCUUGUAUUCCCACUGGGAAGGUCACUGCAAUGCUGUGUAUCAGUUUCAUACUUUCUAGGGGGAUGUUUUGUGAGGAGAACUGGGUCUGGGCUGCCACAGCACAUGCUCCAUGCUGGAACCAGAGCUGAGCAGAACAGGAGCUCCUGUGGCACCCCUCAGGUGAACUGUACAGCAUCCCCGUCACCACUGUGAUCACAAGAGACUCUGCUAUUUUCCUCUCAUGCCAAUGCUGAACAGAACAAAGAGCACAAGAGCUGUGCAGAGGAAAGCAUUUUGCACUUUACCCCAUUCUGCUCCAGCAGCUCCCCUGGGUGCAGUUGUGCACUUGUGGUCACACCAGGCCCAUGAGCUGUGACCCACUGCACACCUGCUGGCUUAACAGCACUAACUUCU